rnacentral:tRNA from 1 species
UAAACUGUAGCUCAAUGGAAGAGCGCCACCUUGCCAAGGUGGAGGUUGCCAGUUCGAGCCUGGCCAGUUUAC